rnacentral:rRNA from 1 species
CCUAGGGGAGGCAGCAGUAGGGAAUUUUUCACAAUGGGCGAAAGCCUGAUGGAGCAACGCCGCGUGCAGGAUGAAGGCCUUCGGGUUGUAAACUGCUUUUAUAAGCGAGAAAUAUGAUGGUAACUUAUGAAUAAGGAUCGUCUAACUACGGGCAAGCAGCCGCGGUCAUACGUAGGAUCCGAGCAUUAUCCGGGGUGACUGGGUGUAAAGAGUUGGGUAGGUGGAAUAAUAAGUAGGUAAGUAAAUCGGGUUGCUCAACCAUUCAGACUAUUAGCUAAAUUGUUAAGUUAGAGACCGUUAGGGGUAACUGGAAUUUCUAGUGUAGGAGUGAAAUCCGUAGAUAUUAGAAGGAACACCAAGAGCGUAGGCAGGUUGCUGGGACGGUUCUGACACUAAGGCACGAAAGCGUAGGGAGCAAACGGGAUUAGAUACCCUUGUAGUC